UAUUGAUUUAAUUAAAAAUAAUAAAAACGAACCUUAUAUACAUAACAUACCGACAUCCAUUAAUAACUUUAACUGUUUAGAAGCCUUAUCUGUUGAUAGUUCCAAAGAAAAAAAUAUUAACAACAAUAACAAUAAUAGUAGUAAUAAUAAUAAUAAUAAUAUGUUUAAACAUGAGGAUACCAUUCCUGAUUUAAUACAGGAUACGGUUCCUGGUGUUCCUACAUCUGCUAACAAACAAGAUAACAGUUUAGAUUAUGUUAAAAAAAAAUGAAGAAAUUUUGGCUGACCUUUUUGGUAACAUCUCUAUUGAUGAGCCAAAAACGAGGCCCACACAAAAUGAGUCAACUGGUAACAUAAAAUUUUAUACCACCAUUCUCUGUUACAUUAUACAUAUAUAUAUAUAUAUAUAUAUAUAUAUAUAUAUAUAUGUACAUAUGUAUACGUAUAUAUAUUUUUUUUCUUUUUUUCUCAUUUCUUAUGCAGAAUACAAUUCGUUAAAUAUACUUAUGAAUGACACUCCAAAAGGGAACAAAGACGAUUUCUUUGACCUAAACCUAAUCGAAGAAAAAAAAGAUGAAAAGACUAUUAAUAUAACCCCUUUAAAAAUAUAUGACAAAAAUAACAUUGAAAUUAUGUUCCAAUUUGAUAAGGAAAGUUUAGAUUCGGAGAGUACUAAUAUAAAAGCUACUUAUUCGAACAAAUCGGACAAGCUUAUACCUUACUUUGUUUUUGAAGUAAUCAACACUUCUUCCGGUUUUGUUUGCAUUUUUUGCGUUUUUUAUUUUUACAAUGAUUGCUCAUUUAUAAUCUCCCAUUUUAUUCUACAUACGACACAUGUUUUUUCAAUUUCUAAUAUAUAUUUGUGGAUUUUUUUUUUUUUUUUUUUAACAGGCUGUUGUUCCUAAUUAUGUCAAACUGAACAUAUUUAAAGCUUCGUCAACUGAAUUGUUACCCUUCGAAGAAAACAAAAUAACACAAAAUAUGCUAAUUGUUAACAAACUUUUUAAAAAAAAACCAGUCCUUAUGAAAGUUAGGAUAUCAUAUACAAAAGACAACGAAAAAAUACAAGAUUUUAUUAAUAUAGGGAAUUUUCCUGAUGUUUUAUAAUAUAUAUACACAUGUGUAAAUAUACAUAUGUGUAAAUAUACACAUGUGUAAAUAUACAUAUGUGUAAAUAUACAUAUGUGUAAAUAUACAUAUAUAUAUAUAUAUAACGAAGAAAAAAAAAAAAAAACUUUGUCCCUAUUCCCUUUCACAUUUUAUUUUUUAUAAAAAAUUAGAAAAAACAUUAACACAUAUGGACAUAUAACAUAUGGGUAUGUAUGUCACAUAUGAAUGUUGUUCCACAUACAUUCAUUCGUUCACUCAUCUAAUCAUACAAUUACCCAAUCGUUCAUUUUUUUUUUUUUUUUUUUUUUUUUUUUGGUAUUUUAUUACGCUUGUAUUUGUUACUUUAUUCGAUUAUUAUAUUAUGUUUGAUAAUUAUAUUCUGUUCGAUAAUUAUAUUUUGUUCGAUAAUUAUAUUAUGUUCGAUAAUUAUAUUCUGUUCGAUUAUUUUAUUAUGUUCGAUU
ensembl:lncRNA